AGGCAUGUAUUCUUACGGGUCUCAGGGCCUAGGUCACACUGGAGAUAGUCCUUUUUGAUUUAGAGACGUCCUUCAGAUAACUCGGUGCAUCGUUCUCGUGUCCCGUGGCGUCGCUUUAUUCGCUCGACCAAUCAAAGGCCUCAAACGCUUAGGCUACCGGUGACAUAACGAUGAGUAUAAGUGGCAGCUGGAUCGGUACAUCGUGGCACUUGAAAUUUGACGACCCGAGAGGGUGCGUCUAAAAAUUUCUUUUUUCUUCUUUCUGUCGUUUUUCUUUCUCUGUUGUAGUGAGUGUGUGGUAAACUUACAGUGAUGGUGAAAAAAAUUUCGUGUGCGCAAGUGUAUUUUUCCUCGUGCCUAAGGUCGUCUGGAUUUUAUAUGUUUUCAUGAGUUGCAAAAUCUCUUUUGCCGGAAUAAUAUUGAUGAUUAUGAGCGGUAUAUUUGUACUUCGCUACAGUCGCGACAGCUUCUUACAGUCCUGUAAAAGGAUGGGGGGGGGGGAAUAGGAUGGGGCUCUCCAUUUUUUGAGUAAGAUAGCUCAUUUUUGCGCAAAAUAAGCGAUUCUGGAUAAGUAAAGCAAGUUCACUUUUACGGUUAGGCCAAUAAAAUUUGAAUUUACUCUCGUCGUGAGAGCGUUUGAAUCUAAGAUAGCCUCCGCCAGUUGUCAGCAAAUUUUGCGAUUCCAUAGAGACGUAACCUUUGAUGGAUAUUCAUAUGCAGUCAAAGGGAAAUGGACAAUCGACAUUGGCUCACUACGGCGGCAACUUUUGGAAUACUUUAUAGCAAGAAAGGAGAGAAGAAAUAAUAGCGGAAGAAAUAAAAAUAAGAAAGGGUCACGAUGUUACAGAAAAUGAAAUAUGGCAAGGUGGAAAAUUGAAAAAUUGGAAAGUGGUGGAAAAUGUAAUUCUGUGAAGCUUGAUCCCAAAAAGUGCUUAAAAUUAUUUUUCUCAUAGAUAUUCUGAUCCGGAAGCACUAUCGAAUGAAUGAGAUUGCAGAUAUUUGGUUGUGAGACAUGAAUGAUAUGAUCUCACCUUUUUUCUAAGGCAAAAAAAUAGAUAGAGGAGCCGAAACUCGUCGUAUCACGUAUAAUUUACAGGCAAGUGAGCUAUUUGGAAAUUUCUACGAUUCCUAAAGUUCUAUUUUGGAUUUCUAUAUAGUAUUCUUCCUCGGAUUUCGUCAGAUUUUUUCUUGGAUUCCGUCAUGAAAAUCGGGGUUAAUACAUGUGUUUAGCCGCAUUGAAUGGUAAGUGCAAAUAAAUGCAUGAGAGAGAGAGCUCUCUUUCGUAUUCCACCAUUUGUCAUCAACCAGAAACUUGACGGAGGGAAAGUUUUAAAAAAACACUAAUUGAAAAGGAAAUGCGCGGACGUGAUGGAGACGUGUGGACUUGCGGACUGUUAAACUCUUGGCGAGAAGGCAGGGGAGCAGCGUGCUCUUGAAGAACAGAUGUACGCCAGGAAGAGGUGCGCCAAGCCGGAAGGGCUCAAUGAAGAAAUAUGACCAAGAUGAAAAAUCAACGGUCCUGGACACACGUGCGACAAACAAAGAGAAUAAAACGUAGUAUUGUACAUAUUUACAAUUAAUACCGUUUUCAGACAAGAUUUCGUCGGCUACAUCUUGUGCUGUAGGUGUGUGGAUCCAAGAAUCGGGCUGCUUGAGCUUGACUCCAUCUUGAAAGUCGUCGAUUCAACGACGCGCUCUCCCUGCUCAUCCUCCUCGUCCUCUUGGCCCUCCGAGCGGAUGGUGACCGUCUCCGACUCCUCCAAUCCGAGGUGGAUGAAUUUCCGCUGGAACUCGCCGAGGGCACAGCAGUACAUGACGCCCUUGUCCUGGUUGUUGGUGUCCCAGUCGAGCCACUCGUAGGCGCGGCAGACGUCCUCGCAGAGGAUGUCACCCUCGGCCACCUCACGGUAGGGGUUGUUGAGUCCGACCACGGCCACCCCCUCCCGCUGCUCCGGCCGGUAGAAGACCUUCCAGUAGUACUUCGGCACCGGCACGAUCGGCCGACCGUCCUUCUCGCCCAGGUAGAUCUCCACUUCGUUGUCGUUGAUGUCCUUCAGAGCGAUCACGCCGUGGGUCCCUGGAACAUGCGCAAUGGAGAUGUUGUGAGGGAGACUGGAGUGAGGAAUUUGCGAUUUGACUGUUGAUUCCUCUGUAAAAGUUGGCGAGAAACACGAUGGUGUGAUGGCCACCCUUAUAAGGGAAAGGUCACCCUUCCUUCAGAGAUGGGUUCGACCCUCUAUAAGAAGUAAUUUUAUAAAAUUUAAUAUUUGCUCUUAUGAAGAAUCAACUCGAUUACUGGAGGAGCGAUUAAUGAGAUGUAUUUGACGAAAUACUUCGUGAUUCACCCUUGGAGUGAAAAACAAAGUAUUUUGACAACUACAAAUGCUAAAACAGUGUGGGAGAGCACAUCAGCAAACUGAUCAAAAAUGAAAA